UACGUAGGGGGCCAGCGUUGUCCGAAGUUACUGGGCGUAAAGAGCGCGUAGGCGGGCCCUUAAGUGGGGGGUGAAAGGUUGGGGCUCAACCCCAACACUGCCUUUCAUACUGGGGGCCUUGAGUGCGGGAGAGGCGAGUGGAAUGGUCGGUGUAGCGGUGAAAUGCGUAGAUAUCGAUCGGAACACCCAUGGCGAAGGCAGCUCGCUGGGACGGUACUGACGCUGAGGCGCGAAAGCGUGGGGAGCGAACAGG
rnacentral:rRNA from 1 species